rnacentral:rRNA from 1 species
AACGAACGCUGGCGGCAGGCCUAAUACAUGCAAGUCGAACGGAUGUAGCAAUACAUUAGUGGCGCACGGGUGCCUAACGCGUGGGAACAUACCCUUGAGUAAGGAAUAAUGUCUGGAAACGGACACUAAUACCUUAUAAUGACUUCGGUCCCAAGAUGUUAUCGCUCAAGGAUUGGCCCGCGUCUGAUUAGCUAGUUGGUGAGGUAACGGCUCACCAAGGCGACGAUCAGUAGCUGGUCUGAGAGGAUGAUCAGCCACACUGGGACUGAGACACGGCGCAGACUCCUACGGGAGGCAGCAGUAAGGAAUAUUGGACAAUGGGGGAAACCCUGAUCCAGCCAUGCCGCGUGAGUGAAGAAGGCCUUAGGGUUGUAAAGCUCUUUCAAUAGUGAAGAUAAUGACGGUAGCUAUAGAAGAAGCCCCGGCUAAAUUCGUGCCAGCAGCCGCAGUAA